rnacentral:rRNA from 1 species
UACGUAGGGACCAAGCGUUGUCCGGAAUCAUUGGGCGUAAAGAGCGUGUAGGCGGCUUGUUAAGUCUUGCGUGAAAUCUCGGGGCUCAACCCCGAGCGGUCGUGAGAAACUGGCAGGCUAGAGUGCGGGAGAGGAGAGUGGAAUUCCUGGUGUAGCGGUGGAAAUGCGCAGAUAUCAGGAAGAACACCCGUGGCGAAGGCGGCUCUCUGGAACGCAACUGACGCUGAGACGCGAAAGCGUGGGGAGCAAACAGG